AUUAAUUAAUCCAAAUUAUUCAUAUUAAAUAAUUGGAAUUGUUUUUUGAUAGAUCAAUUCAGAUUAUUCCAAAACCAGAUUAUUUGUUUGUUUGUUUCCCAGAAAAACCCUUUGGUUUUGGAUGCUCGUUACCGCUGUAAAAUGAUCUUGAUUUUGCUAAACAAUAAGAUUGUACUAUGGAAAAAUAAGUCUUACUUUUAUAAAUAUUUUUGCGAAUACGCUUUUUUGACAUUGAAGUACGUUUUUUUGGAACUGCCAUUCAAAAAGGAAAUUACUUUUUUCUAGUUGUAUGUGAAAGACAUCUAUUGCCACAAAUCAAUCCUUCUUUCUAAUUUGGCUAGCAAAUAUUUUGGGUUAAAGUUUUGGUGCUCUAUAUUUUUUGGUGAAUGUUGGGAAAACUACACUAACAUUUUCCUUGAAAUUAACAUAGAAAUCCCAAAAUUCACUACAUCCAAACACAAAUCAAACCAGCAUAAUAACUUUGGUCACCGUCAAAACAUGCCAAACCUGCUGGUAUGUAUAACGCGACCUACACCUACCGUAUGGCCAACCACGUGUCCACUCUCAGUUCCUGAUCCCUCUGCCAUCUCUCUGCCACCUCUGCUAAACUCUCUGCCACACCCACGUUUUUCUCUCCCAUCCUCUCUCGUCUCUCUCUAUUCUCUCCUCCCUUCUUCUUUCUUCUUUGUUCGUCCAGCAGAGCACGGGCUUCUGCCCGAGCGCCAUGGCCAACCAGACCUCGCCUCUCUUGUCGUGCCGUCUAGCCUGGACGCCCGCCUCAUGGCCUCUCUCCUCCAGACAGCCGCCCCCCUCGCGCCCUCAUCUUCUCCUGCCCGGGAGCCGUGGCGGCCAUGUGCCUCCUCCCUCGCCUGCUCCCAGCGUGCUCAGGCUCCACCACCGCAGCCGCCCCUCCCCCGCAGCUUGGGCUCCGCGUGAGAUCUGCAUGGUUCGGCCGCCUCCGCCCUAGGCCUGGCCUCGGCCGCCGUCGCUGCACGCUCCUAACACCCGCUACCUCCCACGGAACAGGGGCCUGUCACCGAUUGGUUAGAGGUACUUUAAUUUGUAGCUUCCGUAGAUUGAUUUUUAUUGAUUUGUGGUUUGAUUUCUAUUGAUUUCUGGCUUGAUGUCUAUUGAUUUGUAGUUUGAUUUCAGGUACUUUGAUUUUCUAUUGAUUUGUACCUUCUGUUUUCUAUUGAUUUGCAGGUGGAGUAGAUCAAAGUUUCUUUUCCUGAACAUAUUGAGUUUUUUUCUUCCUAUCAUGAUCUCUUGUUUUGAGUUCGAAGGUGUAUUUCUUCUUUUUCUGUGAUGUACCACUGGGUUAACGUCAGCGUGAUUGACUAGGUACUUAUCGUGUGUUGUAAUUGUUUCUUGAUGCUUUAGGCAGGUAUCUUAUUUGACGUGGUAAUGUACGCAAUAAGAUUAAUAUGUACCAUGGGUACAUGACGAGGUACUAAGUUUUGAUUGUUCUCGUGGUGUAUAUGAGUAUUGUAUAUAGGGUAUUUAAAUUGAUGAGAUACAUAAAAUUGAUGAGGUACUUGAAAUUGAGUAAUUAUUCCGUCACGUGUAAAAUUGAUAAGGUACUUAAAAUUGACGAUGUACAUUCUAUGUGCUAAUGUACGUGAUAAGAUUAAUGUGUACCAUUGGUACAUGACAAAGUACUAAGAUUUGACGAAUGCUAGUAUUAUGUUUUUUUCUGGUACAUAAUGUAUUUACAGAGGAGGUAGUAAGCAUUGACGAGAUACUUAGUAUUGAGAUGAUAACAUGAUGUACUAACUUUCAUUGCGGACGAGGUACAAGGUAUUGUCUAUAUUUUGGAUUGACAAAGGCCAAUUGAUGUAAUUAAACUAACGAGGUACAAGGUACUUUAGUAACAUGGAUAAUGAUGUACUCACUUUUGAUGUGUCUUUAUGUACAUUUAACAUGUACCGUAUUUUAUGAAUUUUAGAUAAAUAACGGUUGGUUUUUAUUACCAUGCACGACAAUGCAUCUCGUAGUCUUUUUACUAAACAAAAUUGUUUAUGUACCAUUGUCUAGUGUAUGUACCUUAUGUACUGUAAUAUGUAUCUACGAGUCAAAUUAAUACAAAAGAAAUAAGUGAUUCUCUAAAAUUUUACGUACAAAAAAAACAAAAAUAUUACAGAAAAAAAUGAGAAAAACAAAAACUGAUUGGGUUUUACGUGAAAACGUGAGUGACUAUCACAAAGAAGAGAGAAAAGAUAAAAAGUGACCAACAAAAAGAAGAAAAGAAAGAUAAAAAAAUGACUGACAUAAAGAAGAGAGAACAAAAGUAAACAAAGUUGGCCUGUAUCUUUCAUCUAAAUUAACCGUCUAACCGUAUCUGAUAUAACACAACUGACUGGGUGGCGUGUGAGAAACGAGUGGCUGACAAAACAAGGGUAGAUCACGUUAGCGGUAAGUCGAAACACGCGUCUUAAUUUCCUUCUCUCUUCGCCGUCCCCGACGCUUUUGACUGUACCACCUCUAGGCCGGAACCACCUCAGUCCACUGUUUGGCUGGCACAGAUUGAUGGCUGUAAAUUUUGUCCGCCGCAAGCAUUCCGAGCCUGCGCCAGCAUCGAUGCAGUGUCAGAGCUCAGGUGCCGUGCUGUCGUCUCUGCAACGAGCAGGAGGGGCGGAGCAUGCUUGUCUCGCCAGUUGCCAUGAGUUGAUGCUAGCUUUUUACUGGUGGCACUAGUCCGUGCGUGCAGUCAAGUACGAGUACAUGUCGACCCUUUCUUCGAACUCCCUAGCCUGUUUGCACAGUUCCCCAACCCGGGCCUCGCCCCUUUCCAUUACAAAGCAACGGAAAUACAAAGUUUCACACAGCUCUAACAAGAUAGCCUGUUUGCACAGGUGCGCGGUGGUAAUUAAAAAGAUCGGUUGACCAUGUGAUUAACAGGGAUAUGACCUUAUGCUUAUAUGCAGAGUAGUUGCGAGUAAUAUGCGCUCAUUCUCAUUCAAAACUACUCCAGAUAGCCGCGGAAAACACUGUCCGUGGUGCAGACUAAUGGUCACCGGGACGAAAAUUACCUAGCGCUCGUGUUGGUUCCAAACUCCAAAGGGAGGGCGACGGUCAGUGAUGCACUAAUGCGGAUGCAACGUGGGUGCUUCCUGCAUGCGGCCCAUAUUGAGCCCUGCUUUAUUCUAAGCCUGUGUUAGCUCAAUGGUCUACGCUUUUGUGUAUGGCCCAAUAUAACAAUCAACCGUUCAAUGCAUGAGAUCUGUUUAAAACACGUACUGAAAAACUGAAAGACAGAUGUUCCGUCUCUACAUAAGCAGGGUCGUACCUAAAAUGGGCCUUAAAAUUUGGGAUGCUAAUAAUUACUCUCUUCGUUUCUAAAUACUUGUCGUGAUUUUAGUACAAUUUAUGCUGUAAAGUAUAAUAUAAUAUAAUUUAUUUUAUUUUAUUUUACCGUACGACGUCACUACAUGCUACUCUCUCCAUUCCACAAUACAACGUGUAUAGAUUUUUCUCAUUUGUUUCACAAUACACUUCAUUUUCUUUUGUUACCCACACCCGUCCAAUAACUACUCACAUUCAUUUAUUAUUAACCUAAUAUAGGUGGUCAGACACUAGAAACGAGAGCUGUCUUGGUCUAAAUGCACAAAUCUAUAUGAGGUGUAUUUUGGAAUAGAGUAAGUAUUACUUAUUACAAUACUUAGUAUCAAAUCAAUACUCCACUUAGUUUGAGCUACUGCUUCUAGUCAUUUUUAUUCUUUCUUUUUUCAUAGCCAGAAUCAUACUUCCUAAUUCUAGAAGACAUGAUGAGUACCGAGGAAAUAACAAAACCCUCAACAUUGUCACAUAAAUUAUAUUCUACGCAAGACAAGAAAAGAGAAGAAUUCCAACCAUUGAUGUAAUAAGUGAUCACCCGCCACCAGGCAGGUCAGAGUUGGCCGCCAAAGAUUGACGGAUUGUGCAUGCCACUUUCUGGUUGGAUCUGGGGUGGUCAUCCAACUCUCUUCGUCGCCUUCUUUUUCGGAACAUCGGUAUGUUUUUCAGGUCGCUGUCGUCAGCGUCUUCUGACUUCGAUCAACGACUUUCCAGCCGCUACGUCGACAACGUUUUUCUAGCUCAGACGUUGUUCGGAAGUUCAAAGACA
rnacentral:lncRNA from 1 species